CCGCCGGGCCCGUCCAGCGACACUGACCUGUCGUCGCCCCCGCGCCUGGGAUGCGGCCUCUCGGGUCGUAGUCACCCUCGCCCGCGCCUCCGCCCACCACCGCCCCGUUCCCGGUCGCUGCCGCCACCGCCGGGGCUCAUGCGGGACCCGCGCCGCCUUCUCCGGAAGCCGGGCCGGGACACGGCGCGCCUGGGCCGCCGAGAACCCGACGCUCGUCGCCAGCCGCCGCUGUCGGUGCGCGCCGAGGGGUUGCGGAGCCGCCUGGCAGGGGCUGCAGGCCGCGAGCGACGCCGAGGAGGCGCUGAGGGUCGGCGGAGGCGAAGCUAAGCGGGCAGCGGGCGGCUGCGCAGCGGCGGGGCGCACGAGCGAGGGCUGGGUGGUGCGUCGCGGUCUAGGCGGAGAGGGAGCGGGCCCUGUCGUCUCCCAGAGUCACCCCGAUCCCAGCGCCACCAUCUUGGGAGGAACACUGAUCUCGCGACCGCGGCGCCAAACGGGAGGACGGGCUGGGCGGGCCGAGUAUCCCGGCAGGCAGCGCGCGCCGCCCGGCCGGGCGAGGGCUUCAAGCCGAGACGCGAGGAGUCGGGGCCGGACGGAACGCACGCGGAGGGCGCCGCGCUCGGCCCCACCCCCGGCCAGCUCGCCCCCCUCCGGCUUCCCGUCGCCCCCGGCGCAGGGGCGGCUGGGAAGGGGAGAUGAGGGCUCGCGGCUCGGCCGAACCCACCGGGGCCGGCCGCCAUCUUAGGACUGGGCAAAGGGGUUAACACUCACCUCACUCUGUGCUGUCGGUGGCCGAGCAGAAAGAACCAGGUUGUGCUCUAAAAGGAGUGGAGCGAAGCCUGAUGGUGGCAUGCACCUGUAGUGCAAACUGUUCAGGAAGAUGGAUCAAGAGAUCACUUGAGCCCGGUUCAAGACUUCAAGGCCAGCCUAGGCAACAUAGCAAGGCCCUAUCUCAAG
rnacentral:lncRNA from 1 species